CAAGUCGUGGGGCAGCAUGACUGUAGCAAUACAGUUGAUGGCGACCGGCAAACGGGUGCGGAACACGUACACAACCUUCCUUUAAGUGGGGAAUAGCCCAGGGAAACUUGGAUUAAUACCCCGUAAUAUAUAGAAGUGGCAUCACUUUUAUAUUAUAGCAGCAAUGCGCUUGAAGAUGGGUGUGCGGCUGAUUAGAUAGUUGGCGGGGUAACGGCCCACCAAGUCGACGAUCAGUAACUGGUGUGAGAGCACGACCAGUCACACGGGCACUGAGACACGGGCCCGACUCCUACGGGAGGCAGCAGUAAGGAAUAUUGGUCAAUGGACGCAAGUCUGAACCAGCCAUGCCGCGUGGAGGAUGAAGGUCCUCUGGAUUGUAAACUUCUUUUAUCUGGGAAGAAAUCCAUUUUUUCUAAAAUGGUUGACGGUACCAGAUGAAUAAGCACCGGCUAACUCCGUGCCAGCAGCCGCGGUAAUACGGAGGGUGCAAGCGUUAUCCGGAUUCACUGGGUUUAAAGGGUGCGUAGGUGGGCAAGUAAGUCAGUGGUGAAAUCUCCGGGCUUAACCCGGAAACUGCCAUUGAUACUAUUUGUCUUGAAUACUGUGGAGGUCAGCGGAAUAUGUCAUGUAGCGGUGAAAUGCUUAGAUAUGACAUAGAACACCAAUUGCGAAGGCAGCUGGCUACACAAAUAUUGACACUGAGGCACGAAAGCGUGGGGAUCAAACAGGAUUAGAUACCCUGGUAGUCCACGCCCUAAACUAUGGAUACUCGACAUUUGCGAUAAACUGCAAGUGUCUGAGCGAAAGCAUUAAGUAUCCCACCUGGGAAGUACGAUCGCAAGAUUGAAACUCAAAGGAAUUGGCGGGGGUCCGCACAAGCGGUGGAGCAUGUGGUCUAA
rnacentral:rRNA from 1 species